rnacentral:rRNA from 1 species
AUUGAACGCUGGCGGCAUGCUUUACACAUGCAAGUCGAACGGCAGCACGAAAGAGCUUGCUCUUUUGGUGGCGAGUGGCGAACGGGUGAGUAAUGCAUCGGAACGUACCGAGUAAUGGGGGAUAACUAUCCGAAAGGAUAGCUAAUACCGCAUACGCUUUGAGAAGGAAAGUGGGGGCUCUUCGGACCUCACGUUAUUCGAGCGGCCGAUGUCUGAUUAGCUAGUUGGUGGGGUAAAGGCCUACCAAGGCGACGAUCAGUAGCGGGUCUGAGAGGAUGAUCCGCCACACUGGGACUGAGACACGGCCCAGACUCCUACGGGAGGCAGCAGUGGGGAAUUUUGGACAAUGGGCGCAAGCCUGAUCCAGCCAUGCCGCGUGUCUGAAGAAGGCCUUCGGGUUGUAAAGGACUUUUGUUAGGGAAGAAAAGGAUAGUGUUAAUACCAUUAUCUGCGACGGUAC